rnacentral:rRNA from 1 species
GACGAACGCUGGCGGCACGCCUAACACAUGCAAGUCGAACGGACUUAAAGAGCUUGCUUUUUUACGUUAGUGGCGGACGGGUGAGUAACACGUGAGCAACCUGCCUCUGAGAGGGGGAUAGCUUCUGGAAACGGAUGGUAAUACCCCAUAAAAUAUAAAUAUCGCAUGAUAGAUAUAUCAAAGAAAUUCGCUCAGAGAUGGGCUCGCGUCUGAUUAGAUAGUUGGUGAGGUAACGGCUCACCAAGUCGACGAUCAGUAGCCGGACUGAGAGGUUGAACGGCCACAUUGGGACUGAGACACGGCCCAGACUCCUACGGGAGGCAGCAGUGGGGAAUAUUGCACAAUGGAGGGAACUCUGAUGCAGCGAUGCCGCGUGGAGGAAGAAGGUUUUCGGAUUGUAAACUCCUUUUAUCAGGGACGAUAAUGACGGUACCUGAAGAAAAAGCUCCGGCUAACUACGU